rnacentral:rRNA from 1 species
CGGACGAACGCUGGCGGCGUGCCUAACACAUGCAAGUCGAGCGGGGUUGAGGCGAGAGGUAACUCGAACUUCUACCUAGCGGCGGACGGGUGAGUAACGCGUGGGCAACCUGCCUCAAGGUUUGGGAUAACAGCCCGAAAGGGCUGCUAAUACCGGAUAUGCCUAUGGCCUCGCAUGGGGCUAUGAGCAAAGGGGAAACCCGCCUUGAGAUGGGCCCGCGUCCCAUCAGCUAGUUGGUGAGGUAACAGCUCACCAAGGCGGCGACGGGUAGCCGGCCUGAGAGGGUGACCGGCCACACUGGGACUGAGACACGGCCCAGACUCCUACGGGGGGCAGCAGUGGGGGAUCUUGCACAAUGGGCGAAAGCCUGAUGCAGCGACGCCGCGUGAGCGAAGAAGGCCUUCGGGUUGUAAAGCUCUGUCUGGAGGGACGAAGGAAGUGACGGUACCUCCGGAGGAAGCCACGGCUAACUACGUG